CAAUUUUCUUAUUCUUCCUUCUGUCAUUUAGGUCAGGAAUAUAUAUUCAGCUUAUCAAAUUCUGGACAGCUAAGGAUUUAUUCACAGCUCUGGCACAGAUUUUCUGGAUGUGUAGUAUAACCAUGGGAUAUGAAUUGGGCCAGAGCAAAGGUCUGGUGAGAAUAAAGGUUUUAUUCACAGUCAAAAGUGGAUGCCUAACAGCAAAGAUCUUUUCUGAUGUUGCCUUAUAGCCUCCAGCAAUGAAGUCCAGGGUCCUCCAGGAUAGAUUUUCCAUUACAUAAUCUUUUCUAAUGCAUGGUUUGUUUUGGUAAGUUUUAUGCCAACCAAAAACCCCUACUGUGCUGCCCAAAUUUUGCCUGGGGACUGUGUGAAGAACCUCACUGGUUUUGGGUUUGCCAUCUGAUUAUCUCACUCGAUACUCUCUAGUUCCCAAAUGACAGUAGUCAGUAAGAAAUCAUGAAUUAGGUAUGUAACCCACUUUCUCCACAAAUUCAUGACUUCAUAAAUCAUUAUUGCGUCAUUCACAGGCCAGCCACUGCAAGUCCACUCUCCUGUGUCUCACCUGGAAACAGAGAUAAUGAGACCUCUCAUUUUCAGUGGCAUUUGCUCCCUUCCCUUCUCAGCCCAGCCAUGCACAACUGUGGGUUCCAGAGACUCAUUUUCUCUGUUCCUCUCCUGACUGGUGGUAGAAUAGGCUGGAUAAUCUGCAUGCAAGCACAAAAAAAGGUAAGAAUUGAGAAAUAUUUUCCCUUUCCAGUCAUCCUGCAUUCAGUACCCCACCCUGAUUCGUAAAGUAUGUUAUGCUAGCACCUAAGGAGACCUGGUUUUAGCAGUCUCUGAAGGCAAGGGACAUAGGCACUUUCCCUGCUUUAAAUCCUGCAUACUUUCUCUCUGAAAUAACCUCUUGUAGAUGCUGCCCAAUUUCAAAAUGCUGAGGCCCAUUCUCAGCACACUCCCCAUGCCUCCUGAUCUCCCUGAGGGAUAACGGGGGCCUGAGUGAGGGCCACACUCCCUUCACAGCUCCAACAGACCCCUUGGUUUUAUAGUCUUUGAAAGAUGUAACUACAUUUUUAAGCCUCUGAAUCUUUCUUUGCAUUUUUUUAAUCCGUUCUGGUACAGGGAUUUCCUAUAACUGGGGAAAAUUCUGUUCAGAUUGCUAAUGAGGGAAUCUAUCAUUAAAAUAGGCAAAUUUCUAAGAGCAAAAACCCAAGAAUCUCUUUUGUAAAUAACAGCACUGCCUCUAUA
rnacentral:lncRNA from 1 species